rnacentral:lncRNA from 1 species
AUCAUUUGUUCUGUACUAGGAUCUCGAAGUGUGAUUACUGCAGUUGUGACGUACCCAAGAAUCACCCUUCAUCUUGGUCAUGGAUUCCGGUCAGUCAUAUUUGACACUAAAGACAAACCUGUUAAAAUGAACUGUCAGAAGCCUCAGUUUACAUCAUUAGACUGCUGCUACAAACUUGGCAAUUCGGAGCAUUGUAAACGACAUAUAUUGUCACCAAGAAACAUUGAAUUGCCGUUUGAAACACAAUUUGGAGUUAUUGUUGAACAAGACAACAGGAAGGAAAAGAAGAAUAAAGCAACAACAUCACUGGUUAGAAAACAUUUUGGUAAGCUACAAAGUGACAACCGGCCUUCAAAAUCUGCACUGAAUCUCAAAAAAGAUGCAAUUCCUGUGUCAACGCCGCUUUUUCUCGGAACUCGCAGAACAACAAAGAUGAAGAAGAACAGCAUCUUUGCAGCUGCUUUGAAGACACACUUCAUCAAACUAAAGAGUGGCACAAAAAGGCAACACAUUCACAGAAAUACCCAGGAAAACGUACAGGUACAAGCAGAUGGGCUAAAAAGCAGACAAACAAAAGUACAAAAUGUCAAGACAAUGUUUCUGAUUGAAAAACCCGUGUCAAAAACUGACUCCAUCAAAGUAAUGACUCUGAAAAGUAUGGCAAGAAAUGUACUGAAAGGAAGUACUUUUUCCAAUUCAAUGGCAGAAGUCGCUGAAGCAUCAACGCAAGUCAAGGUGGGUUAUAAUAUCAAAAACAAGGAAUCUCCAUCACAAAAUAUAAAGGACGCUCCAGCAAACCCAGAGAUAAAACAGACAGCUGUAAUUAUGGAAGCCAACAAACGGGACAACAAAUGGGCCGCACAACGACAAACAAGGAACAAAACGGAGCGGGAGGCUGACCCUGAGCUGAGAUUUGUAACAAAGAAACAAACCGUGAAGCCGCAUUCUGCAUUUCAAAUGUCAGGGUUAAGAAUGAGAGAGGAACCUCCACAUGACGUGAGGGUCGAUGGGGAAGAAAGGAAUUUCACAGACAGUCAAAGCUGGGAAAGUUUUACAAAGCAAGGUGUAGACAAAACAAUUGUAGAUAAGCCACCCUGUCAAGGACUCAUACAUCAAACAGAAGCUGGACUCAAGCACUGCAAGGACAGACUGGAAAAAUCUAACAAGACAUUUAUGAGAGGACUUCUUGGUGGUAGAGGAGCACAGCGUUUCCCAAAUGAUGACAAUACAGAAAACAGUCACUUUUACUAUUUUGAUGGAAUCCUGAAACGAGUUGAAAAUAGCCCCCAAAAUAAGAAACAGUCAAUGUAG